rnacentral:rRNA from 1 species
UGCAGCUAACGCAUUAAGCACUCCGCCUGGGGAGUACGACCGCAAGGUUGAAACUCAAAGGAAUUGACGGGGGCCCGCACAAGCGGUGGAGCAUGUGGUUUAAUUCGAAGCAACGCGAAGAACCUUACCAGGUCUUGACAUCCUUUGACCACUCUGGAGACAGAGCUUUCCCUUCGGGGACAAAGUGACAGGUGGUGCAUGGUUGUCGUCAGCUCGUGUCGUGAGAUGUUGGGUUAAGUCCCGCAACGAGCGCAACCCUUGAUUUUAGUUGCCAGCAUUUAGUUGGGCACUCUAAAGUGACUGCCGGUGCAAGCCGGAGGAAGGUGGGGAUGACGUCAAAUCAUCAUGCCCCUUAUGACCUGGGCUACACACGUGCUACAAUGGAUAGUACAAAGGGUCGCGAAGCCGCGAGGUGGAGCUAAUCCCAUAAAACUAUUCUCAGUUCGGAUUGUAGGCUGCAACUCGCCUACAUGAAGCCGGAAUCGCUAGUAAUCGUGGAUCAGCAUGCCACGGUGAAUACGUUCCCGGGCCUUGUACACACCGCCCGUCACACCACGAGAGUUUGUAACACCCGAAGUCGGUAGGGUAACCUUUAUGGAGCCAGCCGCCGAAGGUGGGACAGAUAAUUGGGGUGAAGUCGUAACAAGGUAGCCGUAUCGGAAGGUGCGGCUGGAUCACCUCCUUU